CCUGCAACCCGGCUCCGUGAAGCUGGAUUCGCUAGUAAUCGCGCAUCAGCCAUGGCGCGGUGAAUACGUUCCCGGGCCUUGUACACACCGCCCGUCAAGCCAUGGGAGCCGGGGGCGCCUGAAGUGCGGUACCGCGAGGGCCGCCCAAGGGCGAGACCGGUGACUGGGGCUAAGUCGUAACAAGGUAGC
rnacentral:rRNA from 1 species